AUUGCCCCUAGAGGCGUUGCAGGUGUGGCCGCUGUGUCACAUGUGUGUCAGGUGGCAGAGAGGAGAGGAGAGAUGCUAUGUCUACGUUCAGUGUUCAGUAAAUGUUGGAACGAUUAGUAACUGCCUAACAUU
ensembl:snoRNA Gm24844 small nucleolar RNA SNORA17